GAAGGAAGGAGCGCUAACGAUUUGGUGGUGAAGCUAGGAAAAAGGAUUCCAGGAAGGAGCGAGUGCAAUUUGGUGAUGAAGGUAGCAGGCGGCUUGGCUUGGCAACCACACGGAGGAGGCGAGCAGGCGUUGUGCGUAGAGGAUCCUAGACCAGCAUGCCAGUGUGCCAAGGCCACAGGGAAAGCGAGUGGUUGGUAAAAAUCCGUGAGGUCGGCAAUAUGUUGUUUUUCUGGAACUUACUUAUGGUGAUUUAAUAAUAAUUUAAAACUACUAUAGAAACUGCAGAGCAAAGGAAGUGGCUUAAUGAUCCUGAAGGGAUUUCUUCUGAUGGUAGCUUUUGUAUUAUCAAGUAAGAUUCUAUUUUCAGUUGUGUGUAAGCAAGUUUUUUUUUAGUGUAGGAGAAAUACUUUUCCAUUGUUUAACUGCAAAACAAGAUGUUAAGGUAUGCUUCAAAAAUUUUGUAAAUUGUUUAUUUUAAACUUAUCUGUUUGUAAAUUGUAACUGAUUAAGAAUUGUGAUAGUUCAGCUUGAAUGUCUCUUAGAGGGUGGGCUUUUGUUGAUGAGGGAGGGGAAACUUUUUUUUUUUCUAUAGACUUUUUUCAGAUAACAUCUUCUGAGUCAUAACCAGCCUGGCAGUAUGAUGGCCUAGAUGCAGAGAAAACAGCUCCUUGGUGAAUUGAUAAGUAAAGGCAGAAAAGAUUAUAUGUCAUACCUCCAUUGGGGAAUAAGCAUAACCCUGAGAUUCUUACUACUGAUGAGAACAUUAUCUGCAUAUGCCAAAAAAUUUUAAGCAAAUGAAAGCUACCAAUUUAAAGUUACGGAAUCUACCAUUUUAAAGUUAAUUGCUUGUCAAGCUAUAACCACAAAAAUAAUGAAUUGAUGAGAAAUACAAUGAAGAGGCAAUGUCCAUCUCAAAAUACUGCUUUUACAAAAGCAGAAUAAAAGCGAAAA
rnacentral:lncRNA from 1 species